rnacentral:rRNA from 1 species
CAAGCCGCGGUAAUACGUAGGGUGCAAGCGUUAAUCGGAAUUACUGGGCGUAAAGCGUGCGCAGGCGGUUUGUUAAGACAGAUGUGAAAUCCCCGGGCUCAACCUGGGAACUGCAUUUGUGACUGGCAAGCUAGAGUGUGGCAGAGGGGGGUGGAAUUCCGCGUGUAGCAGUGAAAUGCGUAGAUAUGCGGAGGAACACCGAUGGCGAAGGCAGCCCCCUGGGCCAACACUGACGCUCAUGCACGAAAGCGUGGGGAGCAAACAAGAUUAGAGACCCCUGUAGUCCUGUCUCUUAUACACA